rnacentral:rRNA from 1 species
GACGAACGCUGGCGGCGUGCUUAACGCAUGCAAGUCGAACGGAAAGGCCCUGCUUUUGUGGGGUGCUCGAGUGGCGAACGGGUGAGUAACACGUGAGUAACCUGCCCUUGACUUUGGGAUAACUUCAGGAAACUGGGGCUAAUACCGGAUAGGAGCUCCUGCUGCAUGGUGGGGGUUGGACAGUUUCGGCGGUUGGGGAUGGACUCGCGGCUUAUCAGCUUGUUGGUGGGGUAGUGGCUUACCAAGGCUUUGACGGGUAGCCGGCCUGAGAGGGUGACCGGCAACAUUGGGACUGAGAUACGGCCCAGACUCCUACGGGAGGCAGCAGUGGGGAAUAUUGCACAAUGGGCGGAAGCCUGAUGCAGCAACGCCGCGUGCGGGAUGACGGCCUUCGGGUUGUAAACCGCUUUCGCCUGUGACGAAGCGUGAGUGACGGUAAUGGGUAAAGAAGCACCGGCUAACUACGUG